rnacentral:tRNA from 1 species
UGCGGCGGUGGUGGAAUUGGUAGACACGUCAGCUUGAGGUGCUGAUGCCGCGAGGUGUGCUGGUUCAAGUCCAGUUCGCCGCAAAAA